rnacentral:rRNA from 1 species
GACGAACGCUGGCGGCGUGCUUAACACAUGCAAGUCGAACGAGAAUCGGUGGAUAGAGGCUUCGGCCAAUUGAAAUCGAGGACAGUGGCGGACGGGUGAGUAACGCGUGAGGAACCUGCCUUUCAGAGGGGGACAACAGUUGGAAACGACUGCUAAUACCGCAUGACACAUUCGGAUGGCAUCACCUGAAUGUCAAAGAUUUUANCGCUGAAAGAUGGCCUCGCGUCUGAUUAGCUAGUUGGUGGGUAACGGCCCACCAAGGCGACGAUCAGUAGCCGGACCGAGAGGUUGACCGGCCACAUUGGGACUGAGACACGGCCCAGACUCCUACGGGAGGCAGCAGUGGGGAAUAUUGGGCAAUGGGCGCAAGCCUGACCCAGCAACGCCGCGUGAAGGAAGAAGGCUUUCGGGUUGUAAACUUCUUUUAGCAGGGACGAAUUCGUGACGGUACCUGCAGAAAAAGCAACGGCUAACUACGUG